rnacentral:rRNA from 1 species
GAUGAACGCUGACAGAAUGCUUAACACACGCAAGUCAACUUGAACUUCGGUUUGGGUGGCGGACGGGUGAGUAACGCGUAAAGAACUUGCCUCACAGAUAGGGACAACAUUUGGAAACGAAUGCUAAUACCUGAUAUUAUGAUUAUAUGGCAUCGUAUAAUUAUGAAAGCUAUAUGCGCUGUGAGAGAGCUUUGCGUCCCAUUAGCUAGUUGGAGAGGUAACGGCUCACCAAGGCGAUGAUGGGUAGCCGGCCUGAGAGGGUGAUCGGCCACAAGGGGACUGAGACACGGCCCUUACUCCUACGGGAGGCAGCAGUGGGGAAUAUUGGACAAUGGACCAAGAGUCUGAUCCAGCAAUUCUGUGUGCACGAUGAAGUUUUUCGGAAUGUAAAGUGCUUUCAGUUGGGAAGAAAAAAAUGACGGUACCAACAGAAGAAGUGACGGCUAAAUACGUG